AUGUACGUGCGGUACUUAGCACAGUGCCUGGCACUAGAAUCAUCACUGAACUUUCUGGCCCAGCUCACGGCCCCCAGGAAGUACCCCCUGAUUGCCGGAGCCCCCACCAGCCAUCCUGCCUCGAGGCUUUCAUCCAAAGCAAGCGGUGCACUUAGACGCUCUCCUGCAGGGAACCUGCCCCAACUGGAAUCUUCCUGUCCUCGUGGGAGACCUGUGGCAGCUGCAGAGUCCCAGCCUGGGUCUUGUGGACCUUUGCUAGAGGGGGCGAGGCCCAGGAAUCUGCAUUCUCUGCACGGCCCUCUCCCAUGCCACAAUGGUUCUGCAGCAAGAGGUCUGCAGACCACACCUAGAGAAAUACUGAGGUGCAGAAGGGCACAGACUGCCCCAAGCUCCCCUAGCGGUCCACUGGCAGAGCUGGCUUGCACCAGAGCUUGUGCCUUGUGGGCCUGGGCUGAUGCCCCACGGCGCCCAGAGCCCUGGCUUACGCUUCCUACGUCUGGGCGCUGCCUGACAUCUCUGGCCUGUCUCCUGCCCUGCACCGAGGCAAAUUGCUGCCAACACGUGCCGGAGGAUGGGCCUGACUGCAGCUGGGCCCGUGUGUGCAGCAGGUUUCUCGGCGGGCGGCACACGUGGCGCAGGUGCCUUGGCCGUGGGAGUUACGGCAUCUGCAACAGAACACGAGGGGAAAGCCAUCCGUCGUCCCAAAGGGUAUGGGGUUUUCUUGUCUCUCUCGACGAGAGCUGUGAUGUUGACAGUGACCGUGACAGAGCUGCUGCCUGCUUGGCUGCCAACUCCAGCUCACCUGGCUCCUCUGGACUUCACGCCCCACCCCGCCUCCCCACCACACCCCCGUCUGAUCGCCGUGGGUGCUCAAUCCGUGUAGGUGAGAUGAGGGAGACGACCUUGGACUCUGCUUCCCAUUCCAAGUCGUUGGUUUGCGCCAUCGAUGGCCUGAUGCUAACAGAAGUGUUACACUUCCUGGUCCUUUCUCCACGCCCCCUCCACCCAUCCAGCUCCGGAGAUGGGGGACACAGAGGCUGA
rnacentral:lncRNA from 1 species